rnacentral:lncRNA from 1 species
CUCUCUUUGUCGGCGUUCCGAGCGCUUGCGUAUCUAGUUUCAUUUCCUUCCGCACUCCCAUGGUGGCGGUCCCUUAAGUGUGCCGC